AGGGGAUAUUACAAAUGUAGCAGUGUACGAGGAUGUCCAGCAAGAAAACAUGUAGAAAGAGCAUUAGACGAUGCAGCUAUGUUGAUUGUUACAUAUGAAGGAGAACACAAUCAUUCACAUUCCAUUACAGAAACACCAGGAGCUCAUGUUCUUGAAUCUUCGUAAAUCUUAAUGAUAAAUCAAUGGCUCAGAUCUUCUUUAGAAACAUGAAGAGUAAAUCGGCACCGUCGAUCUAACGGUCAACGCCUAAAGAAAAAAAAAAGAGGCAAUAUUUGUUUAAUUUUUAUUCUCUCUAUGUACUUGUCGUUGAAAUACUUUUGAUUAUGCGUGGAAAAAAAUUUGAAAAGAAGAUAGAGAGCACAAAUUGUGGAUUUGGUGG
rnacentral:misc_RNA from 1 species